rnacentral:lncRNA from 1 species
UGUCACUGCAUGUUCCUUCCUUUUGACUUUUCAGCCAUUGGCCUUCCUCCAUUCCCUUGAAUACGGGACUUUGCUCUUGCUCUUCCCACUUCCUGGAAAAUCCUAUCCCUUCUUCAUUAACACCUCCUCCCCACCACCAAACACAUAUCAUCCUGUUAACUCCUACUCAUUGUUCAGAUCUCAGCAAAAUCAUCACUUCCUUAAGAGUGCUGUUUUGCACCAUCCUGGUCAAGUCAAAUCCCCCUCUUAUGCUAUCAGAAUACCAUGCACUUCUCUUUCCGAGUGCCAGUCACAGUUUUACAUUUGCUCGGGUGACUAUUUUAUGGACAUCUUCCAUAUUGAAUAAUAGGAUCAUAUAGGAAGGUCCUAUGUCUGUUUUUGCUAAUUACUGCAUCCCCAAUACUAAGCAUAGAAUUUAUUACUACUGCGAGGGAUCUUUUAAGACUCCUCUUUUUAACAACAGAUUAUGGCCUUGAAAUAAAAAUUGACAUUGGUGAUGCAAAUUUAAAAAGGAGACUCAAUAUGUGAUAGCUUUUGUAGUUACUUGUGGUACCUACUCAUUGGUGUGUGUGUGUGUCCAUGUGUGUAUGUGUGUCCAUGAUACUGGGUGUGUAUAUCUCUGAGUAAAUGAACACAUUAUUUAAGUUGGUAAUUCAUAUCAAUUAUUAGCAUGUUUUCAGUUUAUACAGAUUUUUCAGUUACCCAAAGCUUACUUAUGAGGGAAAAAAACACUUUCUUUUUUUAAAACACUUUCUGUCUUUUCAAAAAUUUAUUUUACAUUUGUAUUAUUGAUUUAUUUACCGCACUCCAGCCUGGGCCACAGUGCAGGACUGUCUUAAAGCCAUUUAAAAUGGCAAAAGCAUUUUUACCUUGUGGGCCAUACAAAAACAGGUGGCAGGAGAGAUUCAUCCUUUAUUAAGGAAUUGGAAUUUCAAAAUUCUUUCUAUAUCAAUUAUACAAUUGAAGUUUUAUAAAAAUUAAAUAGGUUAGAGCAGUCUUUUAAAAAAUUUAAAUGUUAUUUUUUCCCCCUCAAUAUCAUUGCUUCUUGACAAUAAAGUUACCACUUUAAAUGAGAAAAGGAU